rnacentral:rRNA from 1 species
UACGGAGGUGGCAAGCGUUGUUCGGAAUUACUGGGCGUAAAGGGCGCGUAGGCGGCUUGGCAAGUCGGAUGUGAAAUCCCCGAGCUUAACUUGGGAAUUGCAUCCGAAACUGCUUUGCUUGAGUCCUGGAUGGGGUAGUGGAAUUCCCAGUGUAGCGGUGAAAUGCGUAGAUAUUGGGAGGAACACCGGUGGCGAAGGCGGCUACCUGGACAGUGACUGACGCUGAGGCGCGAAAGCUAGGGGAG